rnacentral:pre_miRNA from 1 species
UUUACCAUCAUUCUGCCCUGUCUCUCCAACUAGGGGCAGCAUGGUGUAGCAG